rnacentral:rRNA from 1 species
AGGGGUCGCAGACUUGCGCGAAGGGCGGCCGAGGCAGCCAGGAGUUGGUGAGGUWWGGCUACCKGCCUUCGAUUGUAGCUGGUCUGAGAGGACGACCAGCCACACUGGGACUGAGACACGGCCCAACUCCUACGGGAGGCAGCAGUGGGGAAUUUUGGACAAUGGGCGAWAGCCUGAUCCAGCCAUGCCGCGUGCAGGAUGAAGGCCUUCGGGUUGUAAACUGCUUUUGUACGGAACGAAACGGCCUUUUUCUAAUAAAGAGGGCUAAUGACGGUACCGUAAGAAUAAGCACCGGCUAACUACGUGCCAGCAGCCGCGGUAAUACGUAGGGUGCAAGCGUUAAUCGGAAUUACUGGGCGUAAAGCGUGCGCAGGCGGUUAUGUAAGACAGUUGUGAAAUCCCCGGGCUCAACCUGGGAACUGCAUCUGUGACUGCAUAGCUAGAGUACGGUAGAGGGGGAUGGAAUUCCGCGUGUAGCAGUGAAAUGCGUAGAUAUGCGGAGGAACACCGAUGGCGAAGGCAAUCCCCUGGACCUGUACUGACGCUCAUGCACGAAAGCGUGGGGAGCAMACAGGAUUAGAUACCCUGGUAGUCCACGCCCUAACGAUGUCAACUGGUUGUUGGGUCUUCACUGACUCAGUAACGAGCUAACGYGUGAGUUGACCGCCUGGGGAGUACGGCCGCAGGUUGAWACUCAAAGGAUUGACAGCGACCCGCACAKCGUUGAUGAUGUGGUUAUCGAUGCAUCGCGAACUUACCACUUYUGACAUGUACGGAUUCGCUGAGAUG